GGCUGCUGGGAAAUGUAGUCUUCCCAUUCACCUUAGGCCUCCAUAUGCAAAAGAGUCAUGUGAGGUCAGGAGUGUGGUGUAUGCAAUUAUGGUGGCUCAUUGGGCAGCACUACCAUUAAGAGUGGAGAACCCGGUGGCCCCGGCCCAGUCUAGAGCCGAGAGAGAGACUCAUUAGUAUAGCUCCACUCAGCUGCCCUCACAGCUCACCUGUCAGUGAGGCAGAUGGACGGUAAUGGCUUGUGUUUGUAGCUGUGGAAGCAAGAGUGGGUGUAAAUGUAUGUGUCUAUAUGUGUGUCUAUAGGUGUAUGUCUGUGUGGCUGUUCUUCCUUUCUGUUUCCCCUGCAGCUGUCUCUCUUAGAGAGGUGGGAAAGGAGCAGUGGAGCACGAUGUCUCCUCGCUGUUGCAGGAACUUCAAUGCGACCGCCACAGCCACAAUUGCACACCAGCCUGAUUAGCUGUGUUUAUCUGCGAAGGACACAGCGAUGGAGAAGCUGAUCUUUGAACUUUCAUUGUGGCAGAAACCUCAGGGGAGCAUCAGGAUCAAUCUCAGCUGGACAGGAGAUGAAGGUUACGCUGUCCUGGCCUGUGCUGAGCUGAUGGGUGAAAAGAUUCCCCUCUGGGCCUUCCUGGUUUACAAUAGCCAUUCGGUGGAGCAAAGCCAACACAUCGAUCUCUCGCCUACGGAUUAUAUACAAAGGCACCAAUCAGUGUGGAAUGUUGAACGGGAAAAUAUGCUCCUUUUUGCUCUCUACUCCAUGUGGCUUCAUUAAGCUGGUCACAGUGCAUUUCCACUCAUUUUUUGAAGCACUACUCCUUGUGUGAGUGGAACUGGCUAUGACAAUGGCACAUAAAACAUUACCACAUAAAACAACACCUGUGAGGGUGCAGGGCAUUGUGAUAAAGCACCAUAAUCUCCACAAGGACAGCACUGAUAUUUGGGGCACAUAAGCAUGAUAAUGGGAUGCAUAAAUGUCAUAAGGUGACCUCUUCAAACUGAGGGCCGAUUAUCCUUCUGGAUGUGUCAUAUUGUUCUGGUGCACUUAGAUAUGUUGCUCUCCUGUGGGCUGUUCGGCUUUUCAUGUCCUUUUCACAUGAUAAAGGAAUGUGCUUAAAACAAACGCUCAUUCAGACUACACCGGUGAACUCUGAAUAAAUUUAAAAAGGAAGAGAGAGAACAGGAAAGAGAGAGAGGUGGAUUGAAGAGAUGGUUUAACAAAUGAUCAA